CUACGGGUUGCUGCAGUUAGGAAUAUUCUACAAUGCGCGAAAGCGUGAUAGAUUGAGUCAGAGUGCGUUUCAAAUUGGAAUGCUUUUGCCAAAUGUAAAAAGUUUGGCGAAUAAGGACUGGGUAAGACGAGUGCCAGCCGCCGCGGUAAUACUCGCGGUCCAAGUCGCAGCCAUUUUUAUUGGGUCUAAAACAUCCGUAGCUUGCUUCUUAAGUUCCUUGUGAAAUUUUAUAUCUUAAAUAUAGAGCGUGCAGGGAGUACUGGGAAGCUAGAGACUGGGAGACGUAAGAAGUACAUUCAAAGUAGCGGUUAAAUGUGUUAAUCUUGGAUGGACUCACAAUAGCGAAGGCAUCUUACGAGAACAGUUCUGACAGUAAGGGAUGAAGGCUAGGGGCGCAAAACGGAUUAGAUACCCCAGUAGUC
rnacentral:rRNA from 1 species